rnacentral:rRNA from 1 species
GUAGACUAUUGGACGACGAUCUGGGGAUUUGGUAGGUGGAGUGGGUUGGCAGGAGUGAUGGGGGUGUAGGGUCUCGUAGGCUCCGGGUGGCUUCGGAUUGGAAAGCCCGGGGCGGAAACCCGGGUCUGCAGUCGAUACGGGCAGGCUAGAGUGUGGUAGGUGUGAUCGUAAUUCCUGGUGUAGCGGGGAAAUGCGCAGAUAUCAGGAGGAACACCGGUGGCGAAGGCGGAUCUCUGGGCCAUUACUGACGCUGAGGAGCGAAAGCGUGGGGAGCGAACAGGAUUAGAUACCCUAGUAGUC